rnacentral:rRNA from 1 species
UACGGAGGAUCCGAGCGUUAUCCGGAUUUAUUGGGUUUAAAGGGAGCGUAGGUGGAUUGUUAAGUCAGUUGUGAAAGUUUGCGGCUCAACCGUAAAAUUGCAGUUGAAACUGGCAGUCUUGAGUACAGUAGAGGUGGGCGGAAUUCGUGGUGUAGCGGUGAAAUGCUUAGAUAUCACGAAGAACUCCGAUUGCGAAGGCUGCUCACUAGACUGUCACUGACACUGAUGCUCGAAAGUGUGGGUAUCAAACAGG